rnacentral:tRNA from 1 species
AUAGAUCUAGCUUAUAUUAAAAAGCACCUAACUGUUAAUUAGAAGAAUAAUAUCUAUA